UGCCAGGCUGUCCUCCCUUCUGGUUGGGUGUAUGUGGGUGCAUAUACAAGAGUGACCCUCGGAUCAAGGCUAUUUUCUGGAUUAACCUGCGGUCCUGAAGCAUUUACUGCAGUUAGAGCAGGGGUCCCUGAUCCCCCAGCCACGGUUCGUGGCCUGUUAGGAAUUUGGCUGCACAGCAGGAGCUGAGUGGCAGAGCACGGGCUCCCCAAAGGCCAGGAACGAGUCUGGUUUCUGGAACAGCACUGUCUCCUCAGCACCUAGACCUGGGCACAUAGCAGACAACCAAGGAAUGCCCAUCAACGAGAGGAGGCCUCACCUCAUGGCGGCCAUGUGGGGCAGGAAUGACUGUAAUCCCCCCUAACCAAUGGAACAGCUAAGACUCAGAGAGGCCUCCGUCGUUGCUCUGGGACCUCGUUGCUGACCCUGGAUGACAGACCACUGCCUAGGAUGAAAUUCCCCUCUGGAUGGAUGGCUUCUGGUUUGGUGAUGGAAUGGAUUCCAGGGCCUCUGAGGAAGGCAGGAAGCCUUGGGACUUGGCAAUCUCCACAGGAGAUGGGGUGUGUGCUAGGUGAGGCCCCCAUCACCAGGAGCAAGGCCUGGUCCACCCUGAGACCCAGCGCCCACUUACUGUCCAUGCCUUCACCUUGCUAAGUUAGUGUGUGGUCCACUUGCUAAGAGAAACAACAGGUAUUAAGGGUUUAAGAAAAAAUGAAACCCAAAACAAGCUCUGAAGUUCUGUAGACCUUGGCCAACUCUCAGCACAGCCACUUACUUGCUAGCUAAUCUUGAGCACGUCCCUUAACUUCUCUAACCUUUUUCCUCCAUUCGUAAAACUGGGAAAAUUUGCAUCUUUUUCGUGCAUUCGUUUUGAGAAAUAGAUGGAUAUGUGUGUGCCUGUCAGCUCGACGCUGGGUGCAGAGUGAGUGCGCUAAGCACGGUGGCUUCCUUGACUGUAGAGAUGCAUCCUAGCUCCUGCCUGGUCUGUCCCAGGUGGACAGAGGUGAUGGCAUCUGGAGGGGUCCCACCUCCAAUGUCUUAAUCCAGGGCCUUUCUGUGGCAUAGUGCUGAGCCAGCGUACUGAAAGGCCACAGAGAGGUGCAGCAGGUGGCGAGUUGAGCCCCCACCUCCCCAACCCCAGUGAUUUUCCCUGAAAAGACACCCCAUGCUUUGUUUUGUUGUCUGGCUUAUGUAAACUUGCCUCUUGUUUUAUAGUUGCUUCCCCAGCUUUAAACUAAAGGCUGUUAUUGACAGCCUAUAGUUGCUUCCCCAACGGCCAAUCCCUCCAGCUCCCCUCCUGCUUCCAGGCAAACAACCCCAGUCAUAAGGGCCUGCGAUGUUCCCAGUCCCAGGGAAUGAGUCCUGAUUGGUCUAAGACAGCUAAGACAAUUCUUUUCUACUUUAUCAAAUACAGAUGACCCCUGAACAGCACCAGUUUGAACUGGGGGGUCCACUUAUAUGUGGAGUUUCUCUCUCUGCCACCUCUGGGACAGCAAGACCAAUGCCUCCUCCCCCUCCUCCUCCUGAGCCUACUCACUGUGAGUAGGAUGAAGACCUUUAGGAUGAUCCAUUUCCACUUAAUCAAUAGCAGAUAUAUUUUCUCUUCCUUAUGAGUCUUUUAACAACAUUUUCUUUUCUCUAGCUUAUUUUAUUGUAAGAAUACGGUGUUGAAUGCAUAUAACGUGCAAAUACAUGUUAAUCAACUGUUUAUGUUACGGGUAUGGCUUCUGGCCAACAGUAAGCUAUUAAUAGUUAAGUUUUGGGGAAGUCAAAAGUUAUAUGCAAUUUUUUGACUGCACAGGGAGUCAGCACCCCUCACUCCUCAUUGUUCAGGGUCAACUGUACUUGGUUUCCAAGCCUCCCUUAUAAGUCGGUAUGGCCAUGGGACCCAGUUUUAGAUGUGAGAAGAGAAGAAGGGUUGCAUCUGGGAAGGAUUUCUUUCUGGAUGAAAGAUAGUCUUUUGAGGAGCGGCUCCUUGGUCCCUGCCCUGUCCCUCCUGCUGGAGAUGCUGCAUGCAAGGGCCUGAUGUCUGGAAUUGAAGCAUCCAUGUGGUGACCAUGAGACAAGAAGCAUGACAAUAAAAUUUCACUGGGUGGAAGAAUGAGGAAGUCUGGAUUCUUGAUGAUACUGUUGCCGUCUGAACAUGCCCUGUGACCCUGUACUUCUGGGCAUCUGGUUACAUGAGCAAUAAAUAUUCUUACGGCUAAAACCA
rnacentral:lncRNA from 10 species